rnacentral:misc_RNA from 1 species
UUUUUUUUUUAAAAAAAAGGAAUACAUUUUCGGUUUAUUUUCUCAAACUUCAUUCUUGGUUGAUUAGGAAGUCAAUUUCGUUUCUUUGGUAGGAAAAAGUAUUAAACUUUACUCUUACAAAUACUUAGGCGCUUACGUUUUAUUCCUCAUCCAAGAACGGUGGAAGUAAUAUUUGCAUGAACGUUAUGUUGUUUAUGUUUCUGAAAUCUGUAUCACUUCUAAUUUUGCAUGUCUUGCCAUCGAUGUUAUAUUAGAAGAAAAUCAAGUGUAAUGAAACGCUAUGAGACUUAAAAAUUGGAUGAAAAAGUGGGGAGUUGGCAUUAGUGGGAGAUUGUCGAAGAUGAUGAAGUGUAUUCGUUCAGGGGAGCAGUUAAGAGUAGAUGACAUGAUUGCUUCAUCGGAGUCCUUGGCAACUAGGGACCAUUCAGCGAGCGGUUAUUCCUCUCGAGCUGGUGAGAUAGAUACAAAGAUUGAUAAUAGCAACAUUGAGGAAGCAGAGUCAUCUCUUCGGGAGAGUGGUUAUCUCAACUAUGAGGAGGCAAGAGCAUUGUUGGGAAGGCUUGAGUAUCAGAAAGGAAAUAUAGAAGCAGCACUUCAUGUGUUUGAAGGAAUCGACAUUGCUGCUGUGACUUCCAAGAUGAAAGUCUCCCUUUCUAGAAGGUGCGAACAAAACCGACGCCGUUCUCAAAGUGAUGCUGCCCCGACCAUGUCUAUGCAUGCUAUUAGUUUACUCCUUGAAGCUAUUUUUCUCAAAGCAAAAUCACUGCAGGGUCUUGGAAGGUUUGGAGAAGCUGCUCUAUCAUGUAAAGUGAUUUUGGAUACUGUUGAAUCUGCAUUGCCAGAAGGCCUGCCUGCAAAUUUUUCUAGUGAUUGUAAACUACAAGAAAUUCUGAACAAAGCUGUUGAAUUGCUUCCAGAGCUGUGGAUACUUGCUGGAGCUUUGCAGGAAGCUAUCUUAUCAUACCGUCGAGCACUUCUCUAUCAUUGGAAUCUUGAGACAGAGACCAAAGCAAAGAUAGAAAAGGAAUUUGCUACUUUUCUUUUGUAUAGUGGUACUGAGGCAAGCGCUCCAAAUCUCCGUUCGCAGAUGGAAGGAUCAUUUGUGCCAAGAAACAAUAUAGAAGAGGCUGUUCUUCUCUUGUUGAUUCUGUUAAGAAAAUUUGCUUACAGAAGGAUUGGAUGGGACCCAACAAUCAUUGAUCACCUUUCGUUUGCCCUGUCUGUUUCUGGGGAACUAAGGGCACUAGCCCAUCAGAUAGAAGAGUUGCUUCCAGGAGCACUGGAAAGAAGAGAAAGAUAUUGCACUUUAGCACUCUGUUACCAUGGAGAGGGUGAGGAGAUGGUGGCUUUGAAUCUUUUGAGGAAUUUACUUAAUAACAGAGAGAAUCCAGAUUGCAUACUGGAAUUACUACUGGCUUCAAAGAUUUGUGCAGAGAAUAUGAUUAGUGUUGAAGAAGGGAUGACAUACACUUCCAAAGCACUUUCUGAAUUGCAUGGUAUAUGUGGCCAGAUGGCAAGUGUUGCGAACUGCUUACUGGGUCUUUUAUUGUCAAUUCAGUCCAGAUCAGCUCCUUCUGAUUCUGAGCGGACUUCUAAGCAGUCUGAAGCACUUGAGGCACUCGAAACUGCUGGGAGAAUAAUGAGAGAAAGAGAUCCGCAUAUCAUUUUUCAGCUUAGUCUAGAAAAUGCUGAGCAGAGGAAGUUGGAUGUUGCACUUUAUUAUGCAAAACAGCUUUUGAAUCUGGAGGCUGAAUCUAGCGUUAGAAGUUAUAUCCUUUUGGCUCGAAUAUUGUCAGGUCAAAAAAGGUUUGUUGAUGCAGAGACGGUAAUCAAUGCUGCUCUAGAUCAGACUGGGAAGUGGGACCAAGGAGAACUGUUACGAACCAAAGCUAAACUCCAGAUUGCACAGGGCCAGUUAAAGAAUGCCAUACAGACCUAUACUCAUCUUCUUGGUGUUGUCCAAGUUCAAACUAAAACCUUUCAUGGUGGAAAGAAGCUUCUAAAGGUGUGUAGAUAGAUUGACAUGCACAUUAGCUUUGUUCUUGUAGCAUUUUUAAAGGAUUUGAGAAAAGGACAAUUUAGAUUUUGUCUGGUUGGGAGUUUUUCUUCUGUAAGAAGUGAUCUAUGGUAUUUGAUCUUGCAACUAGUUGUCAAUGGUGCAUAAAAAAAAAAUAUGGGAGUUCAUUAUUGAUUCUAACAAUAAUCUUUUAGUGCAUCUGGAAGUUAUUUUUCUUGUGAGUUGGGGAUGUAUUGGGAAUAUAUUUUAGUAACCACUAACCAAAGGGUUCAUUCAUUUGCUGAGGAUUUUAACUCAUGAAAUGCUAAUGCUUAGUAUUUUAAAUUCAUCAAAUUUAAGUUUCUUGGAAUCAAUUGUGAUCACAUAUAAUAGUUUUUUGUUUUCUUUUUAGAUACAGUAAUUAUGUUCUUUUUUCAUUUUCAUUCCAAUUCACAGAGUAGGGGAAACCAUGACAGAAGAUUGGAAAUGGAAACAUGGCAUGAUCUAGCUAAUGUGUAUACAAGUUUGUCUCAAUGGCGGGAUGCUGAGGUCUGUCUUACAAAAUCCAUGGCUAUUAGUCCUUACUCUGCUUCAAGAUGGCACACCACAGGUUUACUCUAUGAAGCAAAGGGUUUGCACCAAGAUGCUCUAAAAUCAUUCAGGGCAGCAUUAGAUGUUGACCCCAGUCAUGUCCCAAGCUUGAUAUCUACUGCAAGUGUCCUCAGACUGCUAGGUAGCCAAUCGAUGCCCAUUAUCAGAAGCUUUCUUACCGACGCUCUUCAACUUGACAAAAUGAACCAUUCUGCAUGGUACAAUCUUGGGCUUCUUUACAAGGAUGAUGUCAGAGCAUCAGCACUUGAAGCAGCCGAAUGCUUCGAGGCUGCAGCUGUUCUAGAAGAAUCUGCACCAGUUGAACCCUUCAGAUGACAUUAGAUGUACAUUUUGUCCCUGUAAGUUCACAUCUAGUUGUAGAUUGUUAAUUUGAAAAGGUUAUUCCAUACGACUUAGGCAUCUUCUUGUUGAAAGUUUUGCUGGACAAUACUGGCAAAGUGGGAAAAAGAAUAGAUGGGAAAAAAAAGAGAGGUAGUGUUUUGAAGUGGUUUUGCUUUCACUGAAAAUCUAAUCCCAUUUGUUGUAAUUUCUAACUUAAUUAAGCUUAUAUUAGUAAAAGGAUCCAAUCUAUAUAUAUAUGGAUUAUGUUUCUUUGCAGUUUACAUGGAAUGAUUAUACAUUUCAAGGCUGACCUAAACAAAUGAUUGCUCUCAAUCGAAUCUUCCCAGCUCAGUAUCACUGAUAUUAUCUUGAUCCGUUGGUUUAUGUAGGUUUUCUUUCCAUUCUUCUCAGUUCCUCCAUUCAAUUCUAUUUUGAUAAAAUAAUAAUGUAAAUGUGAAUAUUGACCAAAAUUGUGGGAUUUUAGUAAUUUAAUUUUUUUAUAUUUGUGGUCAGAGUUAUGAAAAGGCUAGUAUUAUAAAAUUUGGAUUUUUUUAAAAAAUUUUUGGAAUAUGCCUAUCUCAAAGUAAAACUCUACAUAAAAUUUAAAUAUAAACUAGUACGAUUUAUAUAUUAUUAUUAUUAUAACAAAAAAUUUUAACAAUAAUCAACAAACGUGAGAAUAUCU